UGCCUGUAAGACUGGGAUAACUCCGGGAAACCGGGGCUAAUACCGGAUGGUUGUCUGAACCGCAUGGUUCAGACAUAAAAGGUGGCUUCGGCUACCACUUACAGAUGGACCCGCGGCGCAUUAGCUAGUUGGUGAGGUAACGGCUCACCAAGGCGACGAUGCGUAGCCGACCUGAGAGGGUGAUCGGCCACACUGGGACUGAGACACGGCCCAGACUCCUACGGGAGGCAGCAGUAGGGAAUCUUCCGCAAUGGACGAAAGUCUGACGGAGCAACGCCGCGUGAGUGAUGAAGGUUUUCGGAUCGUAAAGCUCUGUUGUUAGGGAAGAACAAGUGCCGUUCAAAUAGGGCGGCACCUUGACGGUACCUAACCAGAAAGCCACGGCUAACUACGUGCCAGCAGCCGCGGUAAUACGUAGGUGGCAAGCGUUGUCCGGAAUUAUUGGGCGUAAAGGGCUCGCAGGCGGUUUCUUAAGUCUGAUGUGAAAGCCCCCGGCUCAACCGGGGAGGGUCAUUGGAAACUGGGGAACUUGAGUGCAGAAGAGGAGAGUGGAAUUCCACGUGUAGCGGUGAAAUGCGUAGAGAUGUGGAGGAACACCAGUGGCGAAGGCGACUCUCUGGUCUGUAACUGACGCUGAGGAGCGAAAGCGUGGGGAGCGAACAGGAUUAGAUACCCUGGUAGUCCACGCCGUAAACGAUGAGUGCUAAGUGUUAGGGGGUUUCCGCCCCUUAGUGCUGCAGCUAACGCAUUAAGCACUCCGCCUGGGGAGUACGGUCGCAAGACUGAAACUCAAAGGAAUUGACGGGGGCCCGCACAAGCGGUGGAGCAUGUGGUUUAAUUCGAAGCAACGCGAAGAACCUUACCAGGUCUUGACAUCCUCUGACAAUCCUAGAGAUAGGACGUCCCCUUCGGGGGCAGAGUGACAGGUGGUGCAUGGUUGUCGUCAGCUCGUGUCGUGAGAUGUUGGGUUAAGUCCCGCAACGAGCGCAACCCUUGAUCUUAGUUGCCAGCAUUCAGUUGGGCACUCUAAGGUGACUGCCGGUGACAAACCGGAGGAAGGUGGGGAUGACGUCAAAUCAUCAUGCCCCUUAUGACCUGGGCUACACACGUGCUACAAUGGACAGAACAAAGGGCAGCGAAACCGCGAGGUUAAGCCAAUCCCACAAAUCUGUUCUCAGUUCGGAUCGCAGUCUGCAACUCGACUGCGUGAAGCUGGAAUCGCUAGUAAUCGCGGAUCAGCAUGCCG
rnacentral:rRNA from 1 species